ensembl:lncRNA
UAAGCCUAGAGUAUUUGCUGCUUCUUGCUCAAUAGGCUCAAAAAUCAGUAAAUUGCCAUCAGUGUCAUGCACAAGUGCGAUGUCUCGUGGAAGGGAAAAGUAGCCAAGACCCCUGUGAAUUCAACUGUGACCCAGGGCUAGAGAGUUGCCUUACCCCUGUUGUAGGACAGCGAGAGUGUACUGCUGGCCUUGCCGUGUAAAAGCGAACUGUUUCUGCUGGGCCUCAGGCACAAGGAUGAAGGGAACGGCGCCGGUCAGAUCCAGGGUUGCAGGCUGGGCACUAGGGAAUGUGUGGAUUUGCUCAAGCAAUGAAACCACGUCUGAUACAGCAGCUGCAGUUGAAGUCCCCACCUCAUUAAGCUUAAGAGGACCCACUGUUGUUUCUCCAAGACCCACUGUCUUCUGCGUAAGCCGGAUAGAAUGGGAUGUGGUGGGAAUCACCAGCCCUUCUCCCCUCCACCCUUCAAGUCUUAGGUGGAGACACUGACCUCUGCAGUCCAACCAGAGCUGCUGGCUGGUGUGCUGUCUUCCUCAGGAGAGGCUGUUCCAGUGGUUUCCACUUGGCCUUUCCCCACAUCGUAGCCCUCACUCUACAGUCAGGGAACUGAUGUGAGGACUCUGCCAGCUGCUGAGGAUUUAUCUUCCAGCUGUGCCUUCGGUAGACAUCGCUUCACUCGGCCUAGGACUUCUUCCUUGUCCAGGUAAUCUUCCUCUGAUAAUCCUUCUUCUCCUACCAUCGAUCUUCCCAGCAUCAGUCUUUUCCAGUGAAACAGCUCUUCCCAUCAGGGGGCCAAAGGAUUGGAGCUUCAGCUUCAGCAUCAGUGUUUCCAGUGAGUAUGCAGAGCUGAUCUCCUUUAGGAUGGACUCGGAUCUCCUUGCAGUCCAAGGGACUCUCAGGAGUCUUCUCCAACACCACAUUUCAAAGGCAUCAAUUCUUCAACGCUCAGCCUUUUUUAUGGUCCAACUCUCACACCUGACUUCCCUGGUGGCUCAG